UACGGAGGGUGCAAACGUUGCUCGGAAUCAUUGGGCGUAAAGCGUGCGUAGGUGGUUUGUUAAGUCUGAUGUGAAAGCCCUGGGCUCAACCUGGGAAUUGCAUUGGAUACUGGCAGGCUAGAGUGCGGUAGAGGAUGGCGGAAUUCCCGGUGUAGCAGUGAAAUGCGUAGAGAUCGGGAGGAACAUCUGUGGCGAAGGCGGCCAUCUGGACCAGCACUGACACUGAGGCACGAAAGCGUGGGGAGCAAACAGG
rnacentral:rRNA from 1 species